rnacentral:rRNA from 1 species
AUUGAACGCUGGCGGCAUGCUUUACACAUGCAAGUCGAACGGCAGCGGGGAGGAGCUUGCUUCUCUGCCGGCGAGUGGCGAACGGGUGAGUAAUACAUCGGAACGUGUCGAGAAGAGGGGGAUAACCACCCGAAAGGGUGGCUAUACCGCAUAAAUUCUGAGGAAGAAAGCUGGGGACCUGGGAAUAGGCCUAGCGCUUUUUGAGCGGCCGAUGUCGGAUUAGCUAGUUGGUGAGGUAAAGGCUCACCAAGGCGAAGAUCUGUAGCGGGUCUGAGAGGAUGAUCCGCCACACUGGGACUGAGACACGGCCCAGACUCCUACGGGAGGCAGCAGUGGGGAAUUUUGGACAAUGGGGGCAACCCUGAUCCAGCCAUGCCGCGUGUAUGAAGAAGGCCUUAGGGUUGUAAAGUACUUUUGUUAGGGAAGAAAAGUCAGCUGUGAAUAAUGGCUGAUACUGACGGUACCUAAAGAAUAAGCACCGGCUAACUACGUG